rnacentral:misc_RNA from 1 species
CUUGAAGCUCCUGCAAGGUAUGAGGGGUUGGACCAAUCGGAUUAGCACCCUCGUUCUUGCCAGGGAUGGCAUUGUCAGCUUGGUACUUUGCUAUCGCAGCAGGUCCAUUGCGAUCAAACCUCACUUUAUCCUUCCACCACUCCCUGAGAUUAUCCGAUGCCCCAGUCACCGGUUUGCCUUUCUCCGGGAUAAUUCCAUAAACAAAACCCUGAGCAUUACAAACC